rnacentral:rRNA from 1 species
GACGAACGCUGGCGGCGUGCUUAACACAUGCAAGUCGAACGGAAAGGCCCUGCUCUUGCGGGUUGCUCGAUUGGCGAACGGGUGAGUAACACGUGAGUAACCUGCCCUUGUCUUUGGGAUAACUUCAGGAAACUGCGGCUAAUAUCGGAUAGGAGCUCUUGCUGCAUGGUGGGGGUUGGAAAGUUUCGGCGGUUCGGGAUGGACUCGCGGCUUAUCCGCUUGUUGGUGGAGUAGUGGCUUACCAAGGUUUUGACGGGUAGCCGGCCUGAGAGGGUGACCGGCCACAUUGGGACUGAGAUACGGCCCAGACUCCUACGGGAGGCAGCAGUGGGGAAUAUUGCACAAUGGGCGGAAGCCUGAUGCAGCAACGCCGCGUGCGGGAUGACGGCCUUCGGGUUGUAAACCGCUUUCGCCUGUGACGAAGCGUGAGUGACGGUAAUGGGUAAAGAAGCACCGGCUAACUACGUG